rnacentral:rRNA from 1 species
GAUUUCUGGCGAACUGUAGCGGCCCGUGCUCGUAUCGGGCGUGUGUGCCGUGACAUGUUUGUCAUCCUUCCAGAGAGCUGCGUCUACCAUUCAUUUGGCCGGACGUACGCGAUCUGGAUCAAUUACUUUGAAAAAAUUAGAGUGUUUAAAGCAGGCUUAUGCUAUGAAUACAUUAGCAUGGAAUAAUAAUCUAGGACUUUCGGUUCUAUUUUGUUGGUGUUCUGGAGCUGAAGUAAUGAUUGAUAGGGAUAGUUGGGGGUGCUAGUAUUCAAUGGCCAGAGGUGAAAUUCUCGGAUUCCUUGAAGACUAACUUAUGCGAAAGCAUU